UCCAUUCCAAUAGAAAAAAGAUGUCCGGAACUUUGUCCGAGAAUGUGUCAUAUGCCAGAGAUUUAAACUUGAAUUAAUUGCUUCACCGGGUCUUCUCCAACCUUUACCAGUUCCAGAACAUGUGUGGACUGAUCUUUCCAUAGAUUUCAUUAGUGGCCUUCCAAAAUCACACUCUAAAUCUACUA